UGAGGAAUAUUGCGCAAUGGGGGAAACCCUGACGCAGCAACGCCGCGUGAGUGAGGAAGGUUUUCGGAUCGUAAAGCUCUGUCGGGUGGGAAGAAAUGUAUGGAGGUUAAUAGCCUUUGUACUUGACGGUACCGCCAAAGGAAGCACCGGCUAACUCCGUGCCAGCAGCCGCGGUAAUACGGGGGGUGCAAGCGUUGUUCGGAAUCAUUGGGCGUAAAGAGCGUGUAGGCGGCUGAGCAAGUCAGAUGUGAAAUCCCUGGGCUUAACCCAGGAAGUGCAUUUGAAACUGUUCAGCUUGAGUAAGGAAGAGGGAAGUGGAAUUCCUGGUGUAGAGGUGAAAUUCGUAGAUAUCAGGAGGAACACCGGUGGCGAAGGCGACUUCCUGGUCCUAUACUGACGCUGAGACGCGAGAGCGUGGGGAGCAAACAG
rnacentral:rRNA from 1 species